UGCAAAGCUCAGGGAGAUGUGCUCAUUU
rnacentral:piRNA from 1 species